GAAUUAUUAAACGGCCGCGGUAUCCUAACCGUGCAAAGGUAGCAUAAUCACUUGUCCCCUAAAUAGGGACUAGUAUGAACGGCUAAAUGAGGAUUAAGCUGUCUCUUGUAGCCAACCAAUGAAACUGAUCUCAUAGUCCAAAAGCUAUGAUAAUCCCACUAGACGAGAAGACCCUGUGGAGCUUUAAAACCCAAGACAAACCCAUGUCCCCUCGGUUUUUAGUUGGGGCAACUUCGGAACAAAAACCAACCUCCGAGAGACACGAAAUCAAAACCAACAAGUUAAAACUUAAUUACUUGACCCAAUAGGUUAACCCCUAUUUGAUCAAUGAACCAAGUUACCCCAGGGAUAACAGCGCCAUCCUCUUUCAGAGUCCCUAUCGACAAGAGGGUUUACGACCUCGAUGUUGGAUCAGGACACCCUAAUGGUGCAGACGCUAUUAAAGGUUCGUUUGUUCAACGAUUAAAGUCCUACGUGAU
rnacentral:rRNA from 1 species